CCUACGGGCUGCUGCAGUGGGGAAUAUUGGACAAUGGGCGAAAGCCUGAUCCAGCCAUGCCGCGUGUGUGAAGAAGGCCUUCGGGUUGUAAAGCACUUUCAGUGGGGAAGAAAGCCUUGGGGCUAAUACCCUCGAGGAAGGACAUCACCCACAGAAGAAGCACCGGCUAACUCCGUGCCAAGCAGCCGCGGUAAUACGGAGGGUGCGAGCGUUAAUCGGAAUUACUGGGCGUAAAGCGCGCGUAGGCGGUCUGAUAAGCCGGUUGUGAAAGCCCCGGGCUCAACCUGGGAACGGCAUCCGGAACUGUCAGGCUAGAGUGCAGGAGAGGAAGGUAGAAUUCCCGGUGUAGCGGUGAAAUGCGUAGAGAUCGGGAGGAAUACCAGUGGCGAAGGCGGCCUUCUGGACUGACACUGACGCUGAGGUGCGAAAGCGUGGGUAGCAAACAGGAUUAGAUACCCCGGUAGUC
rnacentral:rRNA from 1 species